UGGGAGGUAGACGAAGACCCCGGAGAUUCGGCCGCUCAUCCGCUUCUGAUCCGUGUUGCUGAACUCGCGUCGAGAGGGAGGUGCCGUCGUUCAUUUACUUCGGGCUGCGGGCGAUCACGAGGAGGUGCGUCGUUUCCUCCGGUCUCUGUUUCUGAUUUACGGCGCAGUUUUCCGUUCAGGUCUAAGCUCCGACGAGUUAUGGAGAUUAAGAAUGCUCCCCCUGCCUAAGUGCUCGCCAUCAGAAUUGAUGAAUGCAGACUUGAAAACUUCUGAGCUCAGAUGUAUGUCAGUUCAGAGAACGAAGGAUUACAGUGAGGCACUACCUGUUGGAUUCAAAUUUUCUUUUAGCACCAGUUUCGUUCAGUUCGUUUUCCAGAUAUUUUGAUCGACAUAGAACACAAGCAUGGAAAAUAGUUGUCCUAGGCACGCAAAUAAGCAAACUUCUGUGUGUCACUGCAAGUAUCACGAGGUAAAAUACCUCCAAUAAGACAAUCAAGAUCAUCCGGCUUUAAACAAUUGACAAUAUGCAUUCUGAUAGAGUUCAUUUUCCACACCAAAAUUUUUGGAACAUUCUUGACCUUCCUGGUAAGAGGCUACACAUAAGCCAGAUAGCAAUAAAUACUUUUGUUCUGAUACACAAGGGGCUCUAUACACCACAUCUUGCCCAUUACCUUGACAAUUUUGAUAAAAAAAAAACUCGAGUCCAGAAAGAAGGAACGGACUUGGUAUCCUCGAACAGCGACAAAUGGAGCCGUCAAUCCAAACUGGGACCAUAUGAGAUAUCUCUCUCCGCUGGUCAGAAUCCCCUGGUACAAUGUGGAGUAUGGCCGUAGGAACACUUCAAACUUGACUUGAGCCCAUCAAUUUUGUCAACUGUACAUCCACUGGAACAAUACUCUGGAAAACUUGUUCCUGAAUCUGCACCUAUACAGCGUCUGUUCCAUAAUUCGAUCGGUAAAUAUUUACAAUAUGCCAAUAGCUCCAAUGGAUUCGGGCAUUUCUACAAGCUGGAUGGCAUUGUGGACAGGGAGUUGACUGGAAACCACCAAGAUGACCCGAAAGUCAGUUGAAAAAAUAAGUAGACGUUAGAACUUCAUGCAGGUCAAAAUCGCCUCGGUCUGGCAGGGGUGGAAAUGUUAAUGUCGGGAAAGAAGAUUGGAAGCUCUCAAGCAACUGCAUACAUUCAAGACCAAUAACAACAUAAGUUAACUGAAAGGUUGAAGUAGGGAAAAUUUGAAAUAUUGGGCAUCAAUCCAUUCUGCAAGAAGAUAAAGCUCCGUAUGUUCACUCACAUUCUCAAGAAUUGGAGUGCUGUAGAGCUCCACAAAUUGCUCCCUUAAAAUCCGAUUCAUCUCAUCAACAUCACACGCAUGUGUCCAAAAUGAGUCAUGUACCCCUAUGUGCAAAUUCCGUUCAUGUCAGGUUAAGUAAUCAUGAUUUCAGGGGUCUUUUCAUUGCAAAAAAUGCAUUUAUAUUCCGUUAUGAAUUACCACAUGAAAAACAUCGGUUUUCUCCAUUAAAAAAACACUAUCCCACCUAGAAAAAUAAAAUAUUCCAGUGAUUGCAAAUCCUCUAAAAUAGACAAGUGAUGGUCAUCAUUAUCAAAAUUCUUCUCCAAAAUCACUUGAUAAAUUCCCCUAAUAGUAGGAGUAGGAGUAGAGUUUCAAAUGCGGAAGGCAAACCUGCAAACUCUAAACCCGCAUCCCUGCAUGCAGUGGCAGUCAUCAUCAUAUGUGAACCAUCAAGUGAAUGUACGAAGUUUGGAGGGAACGCAGUUGCCUGCCGUUUAACAGCAACCUGCAGCCGGCAAUUAAGUGGCAUGACUUAGCCAAAUAACUCUUGCCUACGAGCAAGUUAAAGUAAAUUGGAAGCUAAAUGACGAACUAGAUCUUACUGAGUCGCUGUCACGUUGUAAAGACAAAACCUGAAGGGAGGUUUUGAUCUGCAGCCAUCAAAAGAAGAAAAUAGAUAUGAGGAAGAAACUCAAGAGAAAAACACCUUGAGCUACGCACAGUUAUGCAUCAUUACACAAGAAAAUAGCUGUUUGAAUGAGAACUGCAAAUAUUCCUGCUUCAGUUUUUAACUUGAUAGCCUAGCAAUCAGUUACAGAAACUUCAUUUUUUUGCAGCCAUUCUCUGUUCUAGUUUUUUUUUUCCCUAUAUUCAAUUUCAUCCAAUGAAAUUUUUAAAGUUGUAGGUAGUACUCUGGAACUAGAGAACUUAAAACUCAGAAAGCACUUGAAACUGAGAUCCUGGAAUUGGACCACUUGACCGGUCAAGUUCCAGCUUAAACUGCAUCACUAGGAUUUCUGCCAAGGAAAUUUUUUAUGUUCUGAUUAAAAAAAUAUAUGAAAUUCGAGCAACCUUAAUCGAAACAACAUAUGUACUGCCGAAAAACGGACUCCAUUUGAUAUUGUUACUUUGCUUUAGCCACACCAAAAAAAUAAUAUCAAAAAAUAUCAUUCUACUCAGUACCCAUCCUUAGCAUGAUAGGAUUUGAAUUAAGAUUCUUUUAGUCUCCAAGAGGUUGCAGACAGCCAAAGAAAAUCUGAGUCUCCGAAUGGAACCAGGAACUUACAAGGUGCCUCUCACUCUUCACAUAGGGUUGUACAAUGGGGAGACCAAGAGGGCUCGUCCAUCUCACAGGCUGGUUCUGCGAAGCAAUGACCUGCACAUGAUUUCACCAAUCGUAUAUUCAUGAGAGGGCCCACUAGAUGCACCACAUCAGAACCAUGGUACAGAUCAUUUUCAUGUCGCUUAGAUCUCAGGAAUAACUUAAGUAGUUUCCAAUCCUGAUGGCCCCACCUUUGCACAACUAGUCAGCCAGCUCAUGAUCCCACGUGCUGAUUGGAACAUUUCUUCCAAGGCAGCCAACGUCACCUGUGUAAUUAGGGGUAAAUUAUAGUUGAAUUGAUUAAAACCAAGCAAAUUGAUUUUUGCAUCAGAUGACAGAAGAAUAGAUACCUUAGCUGCAUAGCAAGAUACCCGAUAAAGCAAUUUCUCAUCAUCAAUGAGCCCUCGUUCCUCCAAUCUCCUCUUAAUCUGUUCCCGCGCCCCAACAUAUGUCACACCGUAGACUGAUGUCAUCACCGUCUGCUUGACUAAUUUCCUGUCCACCUGAAUACUACCAAGACCCAAAAUCAUUCAUUGAAAUGUUAGAAAACAUUUGGCGAAUCUCAUUCUAGCACAAAAGAGGGAAAUCUACGCUCUGGAUUCUGAAUAAGAAACCUGAUUGAGUAAAAUCCUAGCCAGUAGGGCAUUUGAAUUAGUGGCAGGAUCUUUCUCCGAAUCUUUUCUGAUGGUGUCAAGAACCCUUCAAAGAUUUGGGGCAGUAUUAGGUCAGUAGCACUAAGGAAUGAACUAAACAUUGGAAAUAUGCCACUCAUAUCAUCUAAAUGAAGAUCAGAACAUAGAGAAAUAUAGACGAGAAAUCUCACAAAUAUGCACAGAAAUACAUUUACAGCUGAUCAACGAUAGUCAAAGCAAUUCAUGUUCCAGAUAGUCCCCUGACACUAUGAAGCCAUAUCUCAUACCUAGCAGCUAUCCUUGAAUAUACAUCUGCAGGCUUCUCUCCAGCCACCAGAUUAACUGCAGCAGCCCCUGGCUGAGAAUUAGAACCAGAAAGCAUGAGAAAAUUUAGAAAAGUCGUCAGGAAUCUACAUAGACAACUUAAUCAUCACAAAUUAUAAAAACAACUGAAUGAGCUUACACAGUCCCUUCCCAAAGCUGCAUAAUGCUGCAAGCCAUUACAUGAGCCAUCCUGAAAACAGUUAAACCUUUAUUACAUCAGAAUAUUAGAACAAAGGUGACUCGGGAGGCCAUAGCACUCCUGCUUCACUCAAGAAAAGACUGGUCACCCCAGACUAAAUCCAUGGGAGAUCUAAAAAAUGACCAAGAAAUGAUCAGAUAUAUAACUGACUGCCACCAAGACUCAAGUAACGAAGGACAAGUUUGGCAUGACGAUGGAAGCCUGGUCUACAAUCUCAAAUAAAACUGCACAUUCAUAACGUAUACCAAAAAGACAGAGAAACAGAGGUAUAUCACUCAGAAAAGAGAAGUGAAAAAAAAAUCCAACAAUCCGACUCUAAAGGAUGAAAUUAUUUGUUUAUUACUUCAAAGGGAGUAUGAAAGCCCUUUCAGAAUGAAAUGAGUCAUUUUUUGCUACUCUGCCAAAGAAAAAAUAAACAGAACAAAAAAUAACUAGAAUCAACCACCACACCAUAGAACGUGGGGUCAUCAAUGCAAAGUUAAACCUCUGUGGAAUCAUGUAUUAUGUUCAACUGCAUAACAUCUGAUGGUACCUGAUGAAUGGGCAGGUGGGAGACAGCACUGUUGGGCGAUGAGCUUUUCAGGACGUCAGAGAGGCUGAAGCAUGCCGCCAGGCACUGCAAAGGGUCCUCAGCACUCAGCC
rnacentral:lncRNA from 1 species